UACGGGGGGGGCAAGCGUUGUUCGGAAUUACUGGGCGUAAAGGGCUCGUAGGCGGCCAACUAAGUCAGACGUGAAAUCCCUCGGCUUAACCGGGGAACUGCGUCUGAUACUGGAUGGCUUGAGUGUGAGAGGGAUGCGGAAUUCCAGGUGUAGCGGUGAAAUGCGUAGAUAUCUGGAGGAACACCGGUGGCGAAGGCGGCAUCCUGGACCACGACUGACGCUGAGGAGCGAAAGCCAGGGGAGCAAACGGG
rnacentral:rRNA from 1 species